rnacentral:rRNA from 1 species
UACGAAGGGGGCUAGCGUUGCUCGGAAUUACUGGGCGUAAAGCGCACGUAGGCGGUCUUUUAAGUCGGGGGUGAAAUCCUGGAGCUCAACUCCAGAACUGCCUUCGAUACUGGAAGACUCGAGUCCGGGAGAGGUGAGUGGAACUGCGAGUGUAGAGGUGAAAUUCGUAGAUAUUCGCAAGAACACCUGUGGCGAAGGCGGCUCACUGGCCCGGUACUGACGCUGAGGUGCGAAAGCGUGGGGAGCGAACAGG